rnacentral:lncRNA from 1 species
CCCUCCUUUGCAUUAGUGCCUUGGAUGAUCCAGUCUGUACAAGAGAAGCAAUUCCAUGGGACGAAUGUCGGUAUGUCAUCCUUUGUAUUGUGUGGUCUCUCCUUUUCGCUUCAGUUUGAAUUGCCAGAUUGGACAGAUCGCCGGUGCUGCGUGAAUUAAUAGAGUUGCAAAAUUAUAUGCUCCUUUGGAGAAAGGAUAUAACUGUACAGUUAUCAAGCAAUACAUGAAAUAGUAAUUUAAUUCGCCAAGAAUAUUUUGCUGUCAGCGUUGCGCCAAACAUAAUGGAAACUGAAGGCAUUUGUGCAAGAAACCGUGCCUUAUCUAAUGCCGGUUGAGGCUUUGCUUAUAUUGAAGUCUUGUUUGUUAGUUCUAAGUCAUUCCCCAUGUCAUCUUUGUAUGCCCCUGGUGAUUGUUCUCUUUUUGCUUUUAAUUUUUCAGCAUGUGGUGUGGGCUUUUAAAUAGAUGAAUAACAUGAUUCUCUUCCA